rnacentral:rRNA from 1 species
UACAGAGGUGGCAAGCGUUGUUCGGAAUUACUGGGCGUAAAGGGCGCGUAGGCGGUCAGCACAAGUCAGUUGUGAAAUCUCCGGGCUUAACUCGGAAAGGUCAACUGAUACUGUGCGACUAGAGUGCAGAAGGGGCAACUGGAAUUCUCGGUGUAGCGGUGAAAUGCGUAGAUAUCGGAAGGAACAUCAGUGGCGAAAGCGGCUCUCUGGAACGGUACUGACGCUGAGACGCGAAAGCGUGGGGAGCGAACAGG